AGUGAACGCUGGCGGUAGGCCUAACACAUGCAAGUCGAACGGCAGCACAGGAGAGCUUGCUCUCUGGGUGGCGAGUGGCGGACGGGUGAGGAAUACAUCGGAAUCUACCUUUUCGUGGGGGAUAACGUAGGGAAACUUACGCUAAUACCGCAUACGACCUACGGGUGAAAGUGGGGGACCGCAAGGCCUCACGCGAUUAGAUGAGCCGAUGUCCGAUUAGCUAGUUGGCGGGGUAAUGGCCCGACAAGGCGACGAUCGGUAGCUGGUCUGAGAGGAUGAUCAGCCACACUGGAACUGAGGCACGGUCCAGACUCCUACGGGAGGCAGCAGUGGGGAAUAUUGGACAAUGGGCGCAAGCCUGAUCCAGCCAUACCGCGUGGGUGAAGAAGGCCUUCGGGUUGUAAAGCCCUUUUGUUGGGAAAGAAAUCCUGUCGAUUAAUACUCGGUGGGGAUGACGGUACCCAAAGAAUAAGCACCGGCUAACUUCGUGCCAGCAGCCGCCGCUGUAA
rnacentral:rRNA from 1 species